UUGAUCCUGCCAGUAGUCAUAUGCUUGUCUCAAAGAUUAAGCCAUGCAUGUCUCAGUACAAGCCACAUUAAGGUGAAACCGCGAAAGGCUCAUUAAAUCAGUUAUGGUUCCUUAGAUCGUACCCACAUUUACUUGGAUAACUGUGGUAAUUCUAGAGCUAAUACAUGCAAACAGAGUUCCGACCGGAGACGGGAGGAAUGCUUUUAUUAGAUCAAAACCAAUCGGCGGCGGGUGCGUUCGCGUGUCCGUUCGCCGCUCAACUUGGUGACUCUGAAUAACUUUCGGCUGAUCGCACGGUCUCGCACCGGCGACGCAUCUUUCAAAUGUCUGCCUUAUCAACUGUCGAUGGUAGGUUCUGCGCCUACCAUGGUCGUAACGGGUAACGGGGAAUCAGGGUUCGAUUCCGGAGAGGGAGCCUGAGAAACGGCUACCACAUCCAAGGAAGGCAGCAGGCGCGCAAAUUACCCACUCCCGGCACGGGGAGGUAGUGACGAAAAAUAACGAUACGGGACUCAUCCGAGGCCCCGUAAUCGGAAUGAGUACACUUUAAAUCCUUUAACGAGGAUCAAUUGGAGGGCAAGUCUGGUGCCAGCAGCCGCGGUAAUUCCAGCUCCAAUAGCGUAUAUU
rnacentral:rRNA from 1 species